UGGGGAAUAUUGGGCAAUGGGGCGCAAGCCUGACCCAGCAACGCCGCGUGAAGGAAGAAGGCUUUCGGGUUGUAAACUUCUUUUGUCAGGGACGAGUAGAAGACGGUACCUGUGGAGGAAGCCACGGCUAACUACGUGCCAGCAGCCGCGGUAAUACGUAGGUGGCAAGCGUUAUCCGGAUUUACUGGGUGUAAAGGGUGUGUAGGCGGGUCUGCAAGUCAGAUGUGAAAACUAUGGGCUCAACUCAUAGCUUGCAUUUGAAACUGUGGAUCUUGAGUGUCGGAGAGGUAAAUGGAAUUCCCGGUGUAGAGGUGAAAUUCGUAGAUAUCGGGAGGAACACCAGUGGCGAAGGCGGUUUACUGGACGAUUACUGACGCUGAGACACGAAAGUGUGGGGAGCAAACAGGAUUAGAUACCCUGGUAGU
rnacentral:rRNA from 1 species